GAUGAACGCUGGCGGCGUGCCUAACACAUGCAAGUCGAACGGGGACAGACGGAAACCUAGUGAAGUCUGUCCGAGUGGCGGACGGGUGAGUAACGCGUGGAUAACCUGCCGCAUGCAGGGGGAUACCGGCUGGAAACAGCCGCUAAUACCGCAUAAGCGCACGGUGCCGCAUGGCAGAGUGCGAAAAGGAGAAAUCCGGCAGGCGAUGGAUCCGCGUCCGAUUAGCCAGUUGGCGGGGUAAGGGCCCACCAAAGCGACGAUCGGUAGCCGGCCUGAGAGGGCGGACGGCCACAUUGGGACUGAGACACGGCCCAGACUCCUACGGGAGGCAGCAGUGGGGGAUAUUGCACAAUGGGGGAAACCCUGAUGCAGCGACGCCGCGUGGGUGAAGAAGUAUUUCGGUAUGUAAAGCCCUAUCAGCAGGGAAGAAAGAAGACGGUACCCGACUAAGAAGCCCCGGCUAACUACGUGCCAGCAGCCGCGGUAAUACGUAGGGGGCGAGCGU
rnacentral:rRNA from 1 species